CCUACGGGGGACAGCAGUGAGGAAUAUUGGUCAAUGGGCGGAAGCCUGAACCAGCGACGUAGCGUGCAGGAUGAAGGCCCUACGGGUUGUAAACUGCUUUUAUACGGGAAUAACGCGCCUUACGUGUAGGGCUUUGCAUGUACCGUAUGAAUAAGGACCGGGUAAUUCCGUGCCAGCAGCCGCGGUAAUACGGAAGGUCCGGGCGUUAUCCGGAUUUAUUGGGUUUAAAGGGAGCGUAGGCCGCAUGUCAAGCGUGCUGUGAAAUGUCCGGGCUCAACCCGGGCCUUGCAGCGCGAACUGGCGUGCUUGAGUCCGCGGAAGGCAAGCGGAAUUCGUCGUGUAGCGGUGAAAUGCUUAGAUAUGACGAAGAACACCGAUUGCGAAGGCAGCUUGCUGCAGCGGAACUGACGCUGAUGCUCGAAAGCGCGGGGAUCGAACAGGAUUAGAUACCCCUGUAGUC
rnacentral:rRNA from 1 species